rnacentral:rRNA from 1 species
UGCUGACAUAAGUAACGAUAAAGCGGGUGAAAAGCCCGCUCGCCGGAAGACCAAGGGUUCCUGUCCAACGUUAAUCGGGGCAGGGUGAGUCGACCCCUAAGGCGAGGCCGAAAGGCGUAGUCGAUGGGAAACGGGUUAAUAUUCCCGUACUUGGUGUUACUGCGAAGGGGGGACGGAGAAGGCUAUGUUGGCCGGGCGACGGUUGUCCCGGUUUAAGCGUGUAGGUGUGUGUUCCAGGUAAAUCCGGUUCACUUUAACACUGAGGCGUGAUGACGAGGCACUACGGUGCUGAAGCAACAAAUGCCCUGCUUCCAGGAAAAGCCUCUAAGCAUCAGGUAACAUCAAAUCGUACCCCAAACCGACACAGGUGGUCAGGUAGAGAAUACCAAGGCGCUUGAGAGAACUCGGGUGAAGGAACUAGGCAAAAUGGUGCCGUAACUUCGGGAGAAGGCACGCUGACACGUAGGUGAAGUGAUUUACUCAUGGAGCUGAAGUCAGUCGAAGAUACCAGCUGGCUGCAACUGUUUAUUAAAAACACAGCACUGUGCAAACACGAAAGUGGACGUAUACGGUGUGACGCCUGCCCGGUGCCGGAAGGUUAAUUGAUGGGGUCAGCGCAAGCGAAGCUCCUGAUCGAAGCCCCGGUAAACGGCGGCCGUAACUAUAACGGUCCUAAGGUAGCGAAAUUCCUUGUCGGGUAAGUUCCGACCUGCACGAAUGGCGUAAUGAUGGCCAGGCUGUCUCCACCCGAGACUCAGUGAAAUUGAACUCGCUGUGAAGAUGCAGUGUACCCGCGGCAAGACGGAAAGACCCCGUGAACCUUUACUAUAGCUUGACACUGAACAUUGAGCCUUGAUGUGUAGGAUAGGUGGGAGGCUUUGAAGUGUGGACGCCAGUCUGCAUGGAGCCGGCCUUGAAAUACCACCCUUUAAUGUUUGAUGUUCUAACGUGGACCCGUGAUCCGGGUUGCGGACAGUGUCUGGUGGGUAGUUUGACUGGGGCGGUCUCCUCCUAAAGAGUAACGGAGGAGCACGAAGGUUGGCUAAUCCUGGUCGGACAUCAGGAGGUUAGUGCAAUGGCAUAAGCCAGCUUGACUGCGAGCGUGACGGCGCGAGCAGGUGCGAAAGCAGGUCAUAGUGAUCCGGUGGUUCUGAAUGGAAGGGCCAUCGCUCAACGGAUAAAAGGUACUCCGGGGAUAACAGGCUGAUACCGCCCAAGAGUUCAUAUCGACGGCGGUGUUUGGCACCUCGAUGUCGGCUCAUCACAUCCUGGGGCUGAAGUAGGUCCCAAGGGUAUGGCUGUUCGCCAUUUAAAGUGGUACGCGAGCUGGGUUUAGAACGUCGUGAGACAGUUCGGUCCCUAUCUGCCGUGGGCGCUGGAGAACUGAGGGGGGCUGCUCCUAGUACGAGAGGACCGGAGUGGACGCAUCACUGGUGUUCGGGUUGUCAUGCCAAUGGCACUGCCCGGUAGCUAAAUGCGGAAGAGAUAAGUGCUGAAAGCAUCUAAGCACGAAACUUGCCCCGA